rnacentral:rRNA from 1 species
UACGUAGGGUGCGAGCGUUGUCCGGGAUUAUUGGGCGUAAAGGGCUCGUAGGCGGUCUGUCACGUCGGGAGUGAAAACUCAGGGCUUAACCCUGAGCCUGCUUCAGAUACGGGCAGACUAGAGGUAUGCAGGGGAGAACGGAAUUCCUGGUGUAGCGGUGAAAUGCGCAGAUAUCAGGAGGAACACCGGUGGCGAAGGCGGGUCUCUGGGCCGAUACUGACGCUGAGGAGCGAAAGCGUGGGGAGCGAACAGG